CACGUAGGGGGCAAGCGUUGUCCGGAUUUAUUGGGCGUAAAGAGCUCGUAGGCGGUUCGGUAAGUCGGGUGUGAAACCUCCAGGCUCAACCUGGAGACGCCACCCGAUACUGCUGUGACUAGAGUCCGGUAGGGGAGCGUGGAAUUCCUGGUGUAGCGGUGAAAUGCGCAGAUAUCAGGAAGAACACCGGUGGCGAAGGCAGCUCUCUGGGACGGUACUGACGCUGAGACGCGAAAGUGUGGGGAGCGAACAGG
rnacentral:rRNA from 1 species